UACGAAGGGGGCUAGCGUUGCUCGGAAUCACUGGGCGUAAAGGGCGCGUAGGCGGCGUUUUAAGUCGGGGGUGAAAGCCUGUGGCUCAACCGACAGAAUGGCCCUUCGAUACUGGGACGCUUGAGUAUGGUAGAGGUUGGUGGAACUGCGAGUGUAGAGGUGAAAUUCGUAGAUAUUCGCAAGAACACCGGUGGCGAAGGCGGCCAACUGGACCAUACUGACGCUGAGGCGCGAAAGCGUGGGGAGCAAACAGGAUAGAAAC
rnacentral:rRNA from 1 species